UGGAUCAAGCGUAUUAGGCGG
rnacentral:snRNA from 1 species